GACGUAGGGCGCAAGCGUUGUCCGGAUUUAUUGGGCGUAAAGCGCGCGCAGGUGGUUUCUUAAGUCUGAUGUGAAAGCCCACGGCUCAACCGUGGAGGGUCAUUGGAAACUGGGGAACUUGAGUGCAGGAGAGAAGAGUGGAAUUCCACGUGUAGCGGUGAAAUGCGUAGAGAUGUGGAGGAACACCAGUGGCGAAGGCGACUCUU
rnacentral:rRNA from 1 species